UGGGGAAUAUUGCACAAUGGGCGAAAGCCUGAUGCAGCGACGCCGCGUGAGGGAUGACGGCCUUCGGGUUGUAAACCUCUUUCAGCNGGGACGAAGCGCAAGUGACGGUACCUGCAGAAGAAGCACCGGCUAACUACGUGCCAGCAGCCGCGGUAAUACGUAGGGUGCAAGCGUUGUCCGGAAUUACUGGGCGUAAAGAGUUCGUAGGCGGUUUGUCGCGUCGUUUGUGGAAACCAGCAGCUCAACUGCUGGCUUGCAGGCGAUACGGGCAGACUUGAGUACUGCAGGGGAGACUGGAAUUCCUGGUGUAGCGGUGAAAUGCGCAGAUAUCAGGAGGAACACCGGUGGCGAAGGCGGGUCUCUGGGCAGUAACUGACGCUGAGGAACGAAGGCGUGGGUAGCGAACAGGAUUAGAUACCCUGGUAGUCCACGCCGUAAAACGGUGGGCGCCAGGUGUGGGUUCCUUCCACGGAAUCCGUGCCGUAGCUAACGCAUUAAGCGCCCCGCCUGGGGAGUACGGCCGCAAGGCU
rnacentral:rRNA from 1 species